GAAAGCAGUGCAGCUCUGCUGUGAAGGUGGGAAGGCAGUGACUGCAGCUUUCAGCUUCUUUUUCAUUCUGGGGAUGCUUGCAAGCAGCACAGGGAUUCUAUCCUGGGAUUUGGAAAGUAGCCCCCAUCACAGUGAACUUUUAGACUUUAGAGAGCUUGGAGAAAGGAGACAGGCAGAGUCGAACUGAAAAAGAGCAAAAUGGCUGCAUGCACCGGGAGUUUCUGGAUGUCUUUCCCUUUUCACCAGUUCUGGGAAUCAUACUUGGCAAUCUCUGACCACCACCCUAAACCAGUUCAUCAUGGUCUUGCCACCAUUAGAAGAACCUCUUUUGCGAAGGGUAUGCCCUAAAAAAGAUUUCCUUCUUGAUAUGAGAAUGGGAGAAAGGAUUAACGGACUGGCAAUCAGUGGACAAAUCAAACAAGCAGUAAAAGUGUUUCCUGUGAUGUUUUCCUCCCUUUUGGACUCUUCUCAUCUCUGAGAAGAAGCCUUGAAGAUGCCUCACCUCUGCAAUUACAUUUCAUGGAAGCAAUGAAUAUGACCUUGGACAGACUUCAGGAGACAGUGGAGGAUAGAAGGGCUUUGCAUACUAUAGUCCACCGGCUCACAAAGAGUCAGGCACGGCUGAAUGAAUGAACAACAACUUGGAGAUUGGUUUCUUUAAAAUGAGUCACUUACGAUACAGAUUUCUUAUAUAAGUAUUUGGUCAGAUUCCAAUAUCAUCUUCUUAAAUGCAAGUGCCAUUUCCUUACAUGUUGUUCAGUUGUUUCUGAUUCUUUCUUGGCAGAUACUAUAGUGUUUUGCCGUUUCCCAUUCUAGCUCAUUUUACAGAAGAGGAAACUGAGGCAAACUAAG